rnacentral:rRNA from 1 species
UGGGGAAUAUUGGACAAUGGGGGGAACCCUGAUCCAGCCAUGCCGCGUGUGUGAAGAAGGCCUUAUGGUUGUAAAGCACUUUAAGCGAGGAGGAGGGUACUGGUAUUAAUAAUACCAGGUACUGGACGUUACUCGCAGAAUAAGCACCGGCUAACUCUGUGCCAGCAGCCGCGGUAAUACAGAGGGUGCGAGCGUUAAUCGGAUUUACUGGGCGUAAAGCGUGCGUAGGCGGCUAAUUGAGUCGGAUGUGAAAUCCCCGAGCUUAACUUGGGAAUUGCAUUCGAUACUGGUUAGCUAGAGUGUGGGAGAGGAUGGUAGAAUUCCAGGUGUAGCGGUGAAAUGCGUAGAGAUCUGGAGGAAUACCGAUGGCGAAGGCAGCCAUCUGGCCUAACACUGACGCUGAGGUACGAAAGCAUGGGGAGCAAACAGG